rnacentral:tRNA from 3 species
GCGGGCGUAGCUCAGCUGGUAGAGCGCUGGAUUGUGAUUCCAGUGGUCGAGGGUUCAAAUCCCUUCGCUCGCCCCA